AGGACGAACGCUGGCGGCGUGCUUAACACAUGCAGGUCGAGCGAGGCCCCUUCCUUCGGGAGGGGAGCCCUAGCGGCGAACGGGUGAGUAACACGUGGGCAAUCUGCCCCUAGCACUGGGAUAACUCCGGGAAACCGGGGCUAAUACCGGAUAUGACCUCCGAGGGCAUCCUCUGGAGGUGGAAAGGAUUCUGGCUAGGGAUGAGCCCGCGGCCUAUCAGCUAGUUGGUGGGGUAAUGGCCCACCAAGGCGACGACGGGUA
rnacentral:rRNA from 1 species